AAUGAACGCUGGCGGCAGGCCUAACACAUGCAAGUCGAACGGAUCCUUCGGGAUUAGUGGCGGACGGGUGAGUAACGCGUGGGAACAUACCCUUUGGUACGGAGUAGCCUCGGGAAACUGGGAGUAAUACCGUAUGUGGUCGAGAGACGAAAGAUUUAUCGCCAAAGGAUUGGCCCGCGUUGGAUUAGGUAGUUGGUGGGGUAAUGGCCUACCAAGCCGACGAUCCAUAGCUGGCUUGAGAGGAUGAUCAGCCACACUGGGACUGAGACACGGCCCAGACUCCUACGGGAGGCAGCAGUGGGGAAUCUUAGACAAUGGGGGAAACCCUGAUCUAGCCAUGCCGCGUGAUCGAUGAAGGCCUUAGGGUUGUAAAGAUCUUUCAGGUGGGAAGAUAAUGACUGUACCACCAGAAGAAGCCCCGGCUAACUCCGUGCCAGCCGCCGCCGCAA
rnacentral:rRNA from 1 species